UACGUAGGGGGCGAGCGUUGUCCGGAAUCACUGGGCGUAAAGGGCGCGUAGGCGGUAAUAUAAGUCAGAUGUGAAAGGUGGGGGCUCAACCCCUAGAGUGCAACUGAUACUGUACAACUUGAGUGUGAGAGAGGGAAGCGGAAUUCCUAGUGUAGCGGUGAAAUGCGUAGAUAUUAGGAGGAACACCAGUGGCGAAGGCGGCUUUCUGGCUCAUAACUGACGCUGAGGCGCGAAAGCGUGGGGAGCAAACAGG
rnacentral:rRNA from 1 species